CGCCCCCUGUGGUGCGCGUGAUUGCUCCAGUUAUCCUCUGAACCUAUAAGUGCUUUUAACGGGAGCCGAAUUGCGAUGCUGGUGUGCAUGCCCGCCUUGAGCGGGAAGCCUGAAAGCCUCGCUGAGGCACCCACUUGAACCUCACGGUUCAAGGCUACGGAGCAACACGGCAUCUGCGGAGGGCGC
rnacentral:other from 1 species